GCCUUCGUAGUGUAGUGGUCAGCACGCUCGCCACAUAUUCGAGAGGUCCAUGGUUCGAUUCCCCACGAAGGCA